GGAUAGUGAUUCAAUUGGGGGUAUUUCAGUUACAACACCAAUUUUUGCUAGUAUGUGAAAGAGAUUCUCAGAGAACUAAUACUGUAAAGUUAACAAGGACUUUUAAGGAUUAAAACAGGAUUAAAAGUCACAAUAUAAACUUAAUAUCUCACUAGAGACAAAUCUAAAAUGUCAGUAAAAUAAAUCAUAUUCCUGACAUCACAAUACUGAAUAAAGUUCAGAAGGAAUGAAGAACACAGUCAGUCAGUAUCAGUCCUGCUGUCCUCUCUGCUCCUCCCUCUGCUGCUGAGGAGAUUUACUGCAGGUCACAUUACUGUUGGUAAGUUUUAAGAUAUGUGGCAAACUGAGCUAAACCAUUAGAUGUAAACAGUUGUUGUUUUAGCUUGUUAGUAACAAUCUGCUUUUAGCUGGAAAGCCCUCUAUGCUUGUUUAUAACAAAAUAUUAGCAGCAGUGGAUGAGAGACUGAAAUAUGACUUUUCUAUAUGUUUACAUGUUGCUGAUCAGGUGUAUUGAUAAAGUAUUGUCUUUUUCCUCAUGGAGGUUUUAUUGCACUCACAGUAACAAGCGUAGCUGUCGUCAGCUCAUGUUAUAUUCACUUCUCUGGCCCCACCGCGGCAUAUCUACUCUGUGUUUGUGUGUGUGUGUCUGUGUGUGUGCGUAAAUGUGGCACAGCAGCCUCGAUGCACAGCAAAAGGAGACACUGCAGCAUGAUAAUAAAUGACACCAAAACAUGUCCAAGUAAGCAAACAGUUACAGAUAAAAGAUUUCGGAACAUCGGCUCUUCUGAAUACUAUGGUCAUUCAUAAUAUAGCGCUACGGCCCCUUUACUACCGGCAAGAUCGACGGGGUUAAAGCUUCACACAUUUGUGGGAAAAGGCAUAUAUUAAAAGAUCGACUAGGGAUAUCGUGAAUGGAUAUUAAGUAAUUCAGAUGAAGAUCGAUUUAAAUUGGAUGAAUCAAUUGAUUUUAUCCAUCACUACUCAUUGCCUUCUUCCCAUGUUUUUAGAGGAAAUCAGGCCAAUUUGCUCAGGUUUUAAUUAAGCAAUAAAACCUAAGCUUACCACUGUAAUAAACUUGACAGGACAAAAUACAUAGCCUGUGUUUUGGAUCCAAAGUAAUACAGUUUAGUUCAUUUUUUCUUCCUCUCCUCUGCUUGUUUGAGCCCCCACACAGCAGGUGGAACCUCCUGCUGCAGUAUCCAAUCAAGAUCCAAGCUGUCUGGAGAGGGCAGAGCUAAACACCACUUUGGCUCUGAAGGCGGAGCUUCAGUCACUGCAGGGGGCAGAGUUUAACUCCCAGAAGGCUGUUCAUGAGACAUUACUGAAGUCAGAGAGGAC